CCAACGGCGAUGACGGCGGCGAGCCGAAACAUCAACGGAGUUCGAGCCCGUGCUGCUAUUCGCUAAAUGGGUCCAUCACUGAGGGAUCUAGAGGAGCGACCGUGUGUGCGUCCAUCCAGUCCCAAUUUGAGGCGCAUAGAGGAGCGGCCGGCCGUGUGCCAGAUGCGAGGCGCUGGAUUGUAUCGACCGGAUCGAGCGGAGUAGCGGGAGCAAACCAUAGCACGGCGGCCGACGAUGGGCUGUAGCAGCGGCGCCUCUCCCGCGAUCUUCACCUCCAGCCACGGAGCCAACCAUGACUUUCCAGCUCGCCUUGCGGUCGCACCUUGCAGUCCAAGAAGAAAAGGGGUGUGGCGGCGGCAAGGACGAGAAGGUUGGCAAGGAGAAGAAGACGGCGCUGCCUCUCCCCGUGGUCACCGCCGUGCUCAAGAUCGAUAUGCCUCGUGGCUUAUGUUCCAGCGGCCGCUUAAGGAGCAGAAGGGCAGAACGCCACGUACAGUGUGCAGGCGGGUCUUCCUGGCGUCAUGGAGUCUGAGAGAGAGGAAGGAGUACAUGGCGAUCGUGAUGUGCACUGCACACAACGGAUCCUGGCCUCAAUGCGGUUCAAUUCAAUAAAAAGAAUGGGCCCUAUAGCAUAUUUUCAAUGUGACGGAACAACAUCCGAGAGGGUCAAGCGCUGGACCAUAGGUGUCUAUACAAGUCUGCAGAUUAUGUUACCCUUUGAUAUGAUCCUCCAUGGAGCGAAAUUUAUCGUCAUGGGUGAUAAAAAACAGGUUUGAUCUGUGCUAAUGGAGUUGCUGCUAUGAGUAGUCUCUUGAGAGCUAGGUGUACGGACUUUGAGACAGAUUUUUUUGCGAAAAUGCUGCCUUCUGAAGGAGGUGCUCAAAGAUUCAUUCCUUAUUUCAGAAAAAUUAUCAUCUUACUCUGAUCAUGCUUUUAGUCGUUCUGCUUUAGCAGGGAUGCAUGUUUCCAUUUGUGCAAGAAAGGUUAUUUCGUUGCUCAUGUCUUUUAUGUGGUUGGGCUCUUUCAAGCAACCGGAAACACACAUUUCAGCAGGGAAUCGCUCAGCUUUCAGCAGUGAUGUCCAACAAGCUAUCAUUACACCCAGCAAAAUAGAAUAGGGAUGCCAAGUUGCUGAUUUUCUGUCAGAUUUGAUGAGAGACUGCUGCUGCUGCGACCAUUAGUGCCAGUGAUUUAUGUGCAUGCACUGAACCAACUAAAGCUAGCAUUGAUUCUGUAGCUUCUUCCUAGGGCGCAAGCAUUGGGAGUAUCAAAUGCACCAAGGGUUGAAGGAGCUCAUCCAUCCAGUGAGAGCAUUGCAGCUUUCCACAUGCCGUUGAUUAAUUAAUCGGCUUUACUUGCAUCAGAUAAUCAAUCCUUUAAUUGUAUUGCCGAUGUCACUUACACAUAUGUAACUAAGAGAAAAUAGUACUUUGCAAGGAUGUCACACUACAGUUAUUUU